UACAGAGGCCUCGAGCGUUAGGCGGAAUCACUGGGCUUAAAGCGUGUGUAGGUGGAUGCCUAAGUGCCUUGUGAAAUCCCACAGCUUAACUGUGGAACUGCUUGGUAUACUGGGUGUCUUGAGUCACUCAGGGGCGAGCGGAACAAAUGGUGGAGCGGUGAAAUGCGUAGAUAUCAUUUGGAACGCCAAUGGUGAAAACAGCUCGCUGGGGGUGCACUGACACUGAGACACGAAAGCCAGGGGAGCGAACGGG
rnacentral:rRNA from 1 species